rnacentral:rRNA from 1 species
CGUAGGGGCGAGCGUUAUCCGGAAUUAUUGGGCGUAAAGGGUUCGCAGGCGGCCUUGUAAGUCAGAUGUGAAAGACAGCGGCUUAACCGUUGUAAGCAUUUGAAACUGCAGGGCUUGAGUACAGGAGAGGAAAGCGGAAUUCCUAGUGUAGCGGUGAAAUGCGUAGAUAUUAGGAGGAACACCAGUGGCGAAGGCGGCUUUCUGGACUGAUACUGACGCUGAGGAACGAAAGCGUGGGGAGCAAACAGGAUUAGAUACCCUGGUAGUCCCU